GGGAGUGUUGGAGACUUGGUCCCCUCGCCUCAGGCAGGUGGGGCGGAGAAGCAGUGGUCCGCGGGAACCCUGGGGAAGCCCCAGUGCUCUUCUGUGCACCCUCUUAGGUACUCUGAAGUCGGCAUCCAGGGGGGCCAGCUCUGAAACCGGCAUCUCUUCUUCCUCACUGCCUCCCGCUCCAAGUGGGCUGUUUCUCGCACCUACUUCACGCGGGUCGCGACAUCUGGGUGCUGGGAAGGGAGGUCAGCGGCUUAUGACUCAACUUUGGAACGGCCGAGAGAAGCAAGAAGAGAAGAUGGAUGAUAGCCUAGGAAGAGGACUUCUGGCCCUGGCUGCGAGUUGGGUGACCUCAGACCAUUCACUUUGAGGAAAGACAGCUGCUGCCAUGUCAUGAGGACACUCAACCAAUCCAUGGCAACGUCCACAUGGUAUGGAACUGGACUUCCUGCCCACAGCUAUGUGAGGGAACCUCUUGGAAGCAAACACUGAGAAAUCUGGCUCCUGAUCACAGUGAUCUAAAGUAAGGCCUCAGACAGAGGAGAGUAUUCCAGAGCAAAACCUACC